rnacentral:rRNA from 1 species
UACGGGGGGGGCAAGCGUUGUUCGGAAUUACUGGGCGUAAAGGGUUUGUAGGUGGCUUGUUAAGUCAGACGUGAAAUCCCUCAGCUUAACUGGGGAACUGCGUCUGAUACUGGCGAGCUUGAGUGCAGGAGAGGAACGCGGAAUUCCAGGUGUAGCGGUGAAAUGCGUAGAUAUCUGGAGGAACACCGGUGGCGAAGGCGGCGUUCUGGACUGCUUCUGACACUGAAUAACGAAAGCCAGGGGAGCAAACGGG